CUAUUUUUAAAUGGGGCUUUUCAAUAGGGGAGAGGGAAACAUCUCUUCCUAUAUCGGAUGGGUGGGUAGGUAGGUGGGUGGGAAGUAAGGGUUUUGGAGGCGGUCUUCCUGCCACCCCCAAGUGUUUAUUUUUGAUACCAAACAUGUAUUUUCAGCUCCCUUCCUCCCAUCCCCCCAAUUUCCUGUAGGCAGGUACAAAGGACCCUUUUAAGUAUCCCUGGAGUUGGGAGGGAGGAAUGGGGGACAUGGAGCCUGUCUUAUAUCAAUCUAGGCUGGAGAGCAGUGAAUUAAAAGACUCCCAGGCUCACCUCCUGUCAGCACUGGCCCAGACCAGGCCUGAAGAUCUGGGGUUGGUGAUUUGGGGGACGGUGCUAUACUCGUCUCCACUGUUUGUUUUGCUUCCCCAAAAUGGACCUUUUUUUCUAAGAGUCCCAGAGAAUGGGGAAUUGUUCCUGUAAAUAUAUAUUUUUAAAGGUGUUGCUGAAA
rnacentral:lncRNA from 1 species